rnacentral:rRNA from 1 species
AUUGAACGCUGGCGGAAUGCUUUACACAUGCAAGUCGAACGGUAGAGGGGGCAACCCCUUGAGAGUGGCGAACGGGUGAGUAAUAUAUCGGAACGUGCCCAGUCGUGGGGGAUAACGUAGUGAAAAUUACGCUAAUACCGCAUACGAUCUAAGGAUGAAAGCGGGGGAUCGCAAGACCUCGUGCGAUUGGAGCGGCCGAUAUCAGAUUAGGUAGUUGGUAGGGUAAAGGCCUACCAAGCCAACGAUCUGUAGCUGGUCUGAGAGGACGACCAGCCACACUGGAACUGAGACACGGUCCAGACUCCUACGGGAGGCAGCAGUAAGGAAUAUUGGGCAAUGGACGGAAGUCUGACCCAGCCAUCCCGCGUGCAGGACGAAUGCCCUAUGGGUUGUAAACUGCUUUUAUUCGGGAAUAAACCUAUCUACGUGUAGAUAGCUGAAUGUACCGAAGGAAUAAGGAUCGGCUAACUCCGUGCCAGCAGCCG